GACGAACGCUGGCGGCACGCCUAACACAUGCAAGUCGAACGGAGAAUGCUUAGCUUGCUUUGCAUUCUUAGUGGCGGACGGGUGAGUAACACGUGAGCAACCUGCCUCUGAGAGAGGGAUAGCUUCUGGAAACGGAUGGUAAAACCUCAUAACAUAGAUGAGCCGCAUGACUUAUCUAUCAAAGAUUUAUCACUCAGAGAUGGGCUCGCGUCUGAUUAGGUAGUUGGUGAGGUAACGGCUCACCAAGCCGACGAUCAGUAGCCGGACUGAGAGGUUGAACGGCCACAUUGGGACUGAGACACGGCCCAGACUCC
rnacentral:rRNA from 1 species